UAUUGCACAAUGGGGGAAACCCAGAUGCAGCAACGCCGCGUGAGCGAAGAAGGCCUUCGGGUCGUAAAGCUCUUUUCUGGGGGAUGAGGAAGGACGGUACCCCAGGAAUAAGUCUCGGCUAACUACGUGCCAGCAGCCGCGGUAAAACGUAGGAGGCGAGCGUUAUCCGGAUUCACUGGGCGUAAAGGGCAAGUAGGCGGUUGUCUAAGUUGGGCGUGACAACUCCCGGCUCAACUGGGAGGGGUCGUUCAAGACUGGAUGACUGGAGGGCAGGAGAGGAAAGUGGAAUUCCUGGUGUAGCGGUGGAAUGCUCAGAUACCAGGAGGAACACCAGUGGCGAAGGCGACUUUCUGGCCUGCACCUGACGCUGAGAGGCGAAAGCUAGGGGAGCGAACGGG
rnacentral:rRNA from 1 species